UUUGAGAUAACAUGAAAAACAUGGAGAAAAGUAAAAAUUCUAUUCAAUAUCUAAAAUAAAAUUGUUGACUAACUGCUGUUCUUGUUUGCCCGCCUAUUACUUUUACAUAAAUGCCUCAUUUAGUUAAGAUGACUUCCGUGUCAUAAAGUGUAUAUCUCUAGUUCCACUUAAGUUUGGGCUUUCAGCUAAUUGUGUCAGAACCUGGGUAUAAAAACUCUUGUGCAGCCGUCAACGUUAGCAGAUUUAAAAUGCGCUUGGUUGUUAUAUUAUGGAUUGCUCUGCUGGGCUUAUCGCAGGCAUACGCCCCGGAUAUAUGCGCUGAACAGUCUUUCGGAUAUAAAGCUGUCGAUUCACAUGACCCUAAAUCAUAUUUUCUGUGUCUAGGACUACUUGGCAAAAUAUUGAGCCAUUGCGAUGAAGGAUUUCGCUUUAAUGGAUCAGCACAGAAAUGCAUUCUUGAAAAACAGUCAAGAGCAGGGGAUGCAAGUUCUGGCGGUCCAAAUAAUUUGUUCAACAUUAACCAGAACAUUACCAUGCACAAGCCAGUUAUCUUUAAUAUCUUUGGUCCACUGUGGAAACCUUCAAACCCUGCACCUCCGCCAAUACCAGCACCUACGACGACCGAAGAACCUGUCACUGUUUCUCCAGGCAAUAACAUUUAAGCAAUUAUCAACCAUGUUAGUAAUCAACUAACUAUUUACAGGGCCAGAGUCUAGCUCUACUACAUCGAUUAAUACAGUGAGUUCUCCUUCUUCAACAACUGAUAGCUCUACAGAGGGUUCUUCUUCAUCGGGCACGGAUAGCUCUACAGAAAGCUCCACUUCAUCUACGGAUAGCGCCUCAGAGAGCUCUUCUGCAUCAACGGACAGUACAUCCGAAAGUUCUUCCUCAGCAACGGAGAGCUCUACAGAAAGUUCAUCUUCUUUAGCAACGGAUA